UUGAGUUCUCUUUGCACUCGUAUGAAAUUAAACACUGAAAGAAUCGAGUUGACAACAGACAAAUUGUGUUGCAUGAUCUACUAUGAUGGUGAAAUAACUGCUGAGGUAAGAAUGAAGCCUGGAGAUGCAAAUUCAAGAGCAUCAAAGACAUCAUUUCUAAGAGAAUAUGGUUAUCAAACCCAACAUGAAAAAGCCCUGGCAGUGCUACUGAAUUCAGAGUCCUUUGAAGGUGCAUUAAAAUUGCAAUUUGGACCUUCAACCCGUUGGUCCCUGUUGAAGUCCACUAUAUGGAGAAAAAUCCUGGAAUGUUUUCCUCAAAAACCUUAAUUUCUUUUCAACUGAAGAAAGAAAGACAUGAACAUCUUGGAUGACAUGGGGACACUUGGGUUUCGCUAAACGCUAUCACUAACAAACAACAGAGCAGGAUUAGCAAGCAUCCACUCUAGGUGACUAGCACACUCCUGGUGGCAUCAGAAAGACCCAUAAUGCCUAGCAGCUGUUAGGGACAUCUGGACACAGGUGAGGACGAUGCUCGCCCCAGACCGCAGGGCUGACGGCUUCCAGUAUCACUGCAUUAUGGAGGUUAAAGAUCAUCUCCACUAGCAACAAAGGAUUGAGGAUUAGUUUUGUAACAUAGGAGGCCCAUUUCGUCUGUGGUGAAUGCAAAUGAUGCAAACAAAAGCGAUUGGGAGGUGAUGGUCUGUCAGAUUAGGGUGUCUGGACGCACACUUUGGAUGCUGCCAAUGAAUCGCUCCACUCUUCUGUAGGGCAGAUGGUAUUGUGACGUUUCACAAUUACUAUUAAACUACAUAAUAGGUUCUUUUAGGCACUUUUAAGCUGCACCCCCUAUUUUUUGGAAUAGCUUGGAGUAGCUCAGAAUACCUUGUUUUCUUUCAAAGUGACUUUUGACCCAAAGGUAUGAUCCUUUAGGACCAAAAGAGGGCAGCAUAGCUCUGUUUGAUACAAACAGAACUAUGCUGAUUGAAGAUUUAAGAUUGGUCACACAUAUUUAAAAGAAUGAGCCAAAACCAUUUGCCAAUCUUUGAAAAUUUUGAAGCAAACACAAUUUUGAGAUUUAAUAUAAUAAUAAUAAUAAUAAUAAUAUAAUAAAAUCAAGAUUUUUAAUUUCAUUAUAAAUAAGAAUGAGAUUUCUAACACAAAAAAUAUUCACAAUAGUCAUGGAAACAUUUACUUUUCAUACACACCUUUAUGGAUGACAGAUCUCCCAACUGUCUUUUAUCCUAUUUAUUUUUAUGUCUGUUGUGUUGUUUUACCCCUUGGGAGGUAGAUUGAUGCUAAUGUUAUUACAAAAGAAUAUAUAUUUGUUUUGUUUUUUUAUAGUUGCAGUCAUGUUUAAUAAGCAUUUAUGUGAAUAUUCCUGAGCUGACUGUAAAUAUGAUGAAAGAAAAUAGUCACAAUGGCUUUUAAUUCAUUGAAAAUGUGCUGUGUGUUUUUCAACUGUGAAAUUGCAGAUUAGACAUCCAUUUUUACUUGUUAGAUGGCUAAAAUAUAUUGUGCUUUGUAAUGAAAAUAUAUAGGUGAAAUGCAUUUGAUUAACCAAUAGGUAGUCAAAAAUCACUACUAUUUAUAUUCUGUUUUGUUAUUGGUCUUUUAUGUAUUUUCAAACAUAAUGUUUCAUGAUCCAUGUAUGUUGCAUCAGAAUUAAAACUGUGGCUCUGCUGAA